rnacentral:rRNA from 1 species
AUUGAACGCUGGCGGCAGGCCUAACACAUGCAAGUCGAACGAGUGGCGGACGGGUGAGUAAUGUCUGGGAAACUGCCUGAUGGAGGGGGAUAACUACUGGAAACGGUAGCUAAUACCGCAUACCAUCAGAUUUGCCCAGAUGGGAUUAGCUAGUUGGUGGGGUAACGGCUCACCAAGGCGACGAUCCCUAGCUGGUCUGAGAGGAUGACCAGCCUAACUGGAACUGAUGCACGGUCCAUACUCUUACGGAAGGAAGAAGUGGGGAAUAUUGCACAAUGGGCGAAAGCCUGAUGCAGCCAGGCGGCGUGUAUGAAGAAGGCCUUCGGGUUGUAAAGUACUUUCAGCGGGGAGGCGUUACCCGCAGAAGAAGCACCGGCAAACUCCGUGCCAGCAGCCGCGGUAAUAC